AAAAGGAGAAGAUGAAAAUGAAAGUAAUUCUUUAACAUGUUAGGAAAAUAAGAAUCAAUAGUUCAGUUCAUGUUGGACAUGGAUUUGUAGAGAGCCAUGGUUGAUGUUAGCAUCAGAUAGGAUAGUGAGCAGACAUGUAAAAUGAUUCAUGGCCCAGGAUAAUUACUACAGCAUUGGAGAGAAACAAUGAUCUACCAAGAGGAGACUGUCUCAGCCACAGGGCAUGGCCACAUGAUGGCAAACAACAAGGAUGCUUGGGCUCAAUCAGGUAGAGCUCCUUCAGGACUGAGAUGCAGAGGAAGCUUGACAAGUGAUGAAGAAAUCUGUUUGACGGCUGAG
rnacentral:lncRNA from 1 species